UGGGGAAUUUUGGACAAUGGGCGAAAGCCUGAUCCAGCAAUGCCGCGUGUGUGAAGAAGGCCUUCGGGUUGUAAAGCACUUUUGUCCGGAAAGAAAUCCUUGGCUCUAAUACAGUCGGGGGAUGACGGUACCGGAAGAAUAAGCACCGGCUAACUACGUGCCAGCAGCCGCGGUAAUACGUAGGGUGCAAGCGUUAAUCGGAAUUACUGGGCGUAAAGCGUGCGCAGGCGGUUUGCUAAGACCGAUGUGAAAUCCCCGGGCUCAACCUGGGAACUGCAUUGGUGACUGGCAGGCUAGAGUAUGGCAGAGGGGGGUAGAAUUCCACGUGUAGCAGUGAAAUGCGUAGAGAUGUGGAGGAAUACCGAUGGCGAAGGCAGCCCCCUGGGCCAAAUACUGACGCUCAUGCACGAAAGGCGUGGGGAGCAAACAGGAUUAGAUACCCUGGUAGUCCACGCCCUAAACGAUGUCAACUAGUUGUUGGGGAUUCAUUUCCUUAGUAACGUAGCUAACGCGUGAAGUUGACCGCCUGGGGAGUACGGUCGCAAGAUUAAAACUCAAAGGAAUUGACGGGGU
rnacentral:rRNA from 1 species